rnacentral:rRNA from 1 species
UACGUAGGAUGCAAGCGUUAAUCGGAAUUACUGGGCGUAAAGCGUGCGCAGGCGGUUAUGUAAGACAGGUGUGAAAUCCCCGGGCUUAACCUGGGAACUGCACUGGUGACUGGCAGGCUUUGAGUGUGGCAGAGGGAGGUAGAAUUCCACGUGUAGCAGUGAAAUGCGUAGAGAUGUGGAGGAAUACCGAUGGCGAAGGCAGCCUCCUGGGCCAACACUGACGCUCAUGCACGAAAGCGUGGGGAGCAAACAGG